GUUGGGGGUGAGCGGGUCGGCUGGUGCACGUUGUUGGGUCCUGAGGGACCAGGCUUCCCAGUCUUCGGGCUGGGGGUUGAGCCGCACGGAGUGAUCCGUAUGGUUCUUCGGUGGGCCGCAUGAAGCUGGGAGCGUUGCUCCUGGGGGAGUGUGNNNNNNNNNNNNNNNNNNNNNNNNNNNNNNNNNNNNNNNNNNNNNNNNNNNNNNNNNNNNNNNNNNNNNNNNNNNNNNNNNNNNNNNNNNNNNNNNCAUAGUCGAACUGGUUUGAAAGCCGGGCCGUAGUGGGUGAUAGCCCCGUAGACGAAAUGGUGUUAUGGCCGGAUGUGUAUCCCAAGUAGCACGGGGCCCGAGAAAUCCCGUGUGAAUCUGUCAGGACCACCUGAUAAGCCUAAAUACUCCCAGAUGACCGAUAGCGGACAAGUACCGUGAGGGAAAGGUGAAAAGUACCCCGGGAGGGGAGUGAAAUAGUACCUGAAACCGUUUGCUUACAAACCGUCGGAGCCUCCUUUGUUGGGGUGACGGCGUGCCUUUUGAAGAAUGAGCCUGCGAGUUAGUGAUAUGUGGCGAGGUUAACCCGUGUGGGGUAGCCGUAGCGAAAGCGAGUCUGAAUAGGGCGAUUUGAGUCGCAUGUCCUAGACCCGAAGCGAAGUGAUCUAUCCAUGGCCAGGUUGAAGCGACGGUAAGACGUCGUGGAGGACCGAACCCACUUCAGUUGAAAAUGGAGGGGAUGAGCUGUGGAUAGGGGUGAAAGGCCAAUCAAACUUCGUGAUAGCUGGUUCUCUCCGAAAUGCAUUUAGGUGCAGCGUUGCGUGUUUCUCGCCGGAGGUAGAGCUACUGGAUGGCCGAUGGGCCUCAACAGGUUACUGACGUCAGCCAAACUCCGAAUGCCGGUGAGUGAGAGCGCAGCAGUGAGACGGUGGGGGAUAAGCUUCAUCGUCGAGAGGGAAACAACCCAGACUACCAACUAAGGCCCCUAAGCGUGUGCUAAGUGGGAAAGGAUGUGGAGUUGCAUAGACAACCAGGAGGUUGGCUUAGAAGCAGCCACCCUUGAAAGAGUGCGUAAUAGCUCACUGGUCAAGUGAUUCCGCGCCGACAAUGUAACGGGGCUCAAGCACACCGCCGAAGUUGUAGAUUUCGCACACUCGAUAAGCCUUCGUGGUUCAGUCGUGCGGAGUGGUAGGAGAGCGUCGUGUGGCGAGUGAAGCGGCGGAGUGAUCCAGCCGUGGACGCUACACGAGUGAGAAUGCAGGCAUGAGUAGCGAAAGACGGGUGAGAAACCCGUCCUCCGAAAGACCAAGGGUUCCAGGGCCAGGUUAAUCCGCCCUGGGUAAGUCGGGACCUAAGGCGAGGCCGACAGGCGUAGUCGAUGGACAACGGGUUGAUAUUCCCGUACCGGCGAACAACCGCCCAAGCUAAUCCAGUGGUGCUAAGAGUCCUAACCCGUGUUGACCGGAUCCCUUCGGGGUGAUGGCGUGCGGUCUAACGCUCGACCCCAUGCUGGUGCGGUUAGCGUAUGAACAGGUGUGACGCAGGAAGGUAGCUGAGCCAGGCGAUGGUAUCCGUAAGGUGAACCUGGUGUAAGGAUGUAGGGCUGACGAUAGGCAAAUCCGUCGUCUGUACGCCUGAGAUCCGACGCGUACCCGUCAAGGGGAAAUCAGUGAUCCUAUGCUGCCGAGAAAAGCAUCGACGCGAGGUUGCAGCCGCCCGUACCCGAAACCGACUCAGGUGGUCAGGUAGAGAAUACCAAGGAGAUCGAGAGAAUCGUGGUUAAGGAACUCGGCAAAAUGCCCCCGUAACUUCGGGAGAAGGGGGGCCGGACACGUGACCGGACUUGCUCCGUGAGCGUUGAAGGCCGCAGAGACCAGUGGGAAGCGACUGUUUACUAAAAACACAGGUCCGUGCGAAGUCGCAAGACGAUGUAUACGGACUGACGCCUGCCCGGUGCUGGAAGGUUAAGAGGAAGGGUUAGCCUUUGGGCGAAGCUCUGAAUUUAAGCCCCAGUAAACGGCGGUGGUAACUAUAACCAUCCUAAGGUAGCGAAAUUCCUUGUCGGGUAAGUUCCGACCUGCACGAAUGGCGUAACGACUUCCCAGCUGUCUCAACCGCGAACUCGGCGAAAUUGCACUACGAGUAAAGAUGCUCGUUACGCGCAGCAGGACGGAAAGACCCCGUGACCUUUACUACAGCUUGGUAUUGGUGUUCGGUGUGGCUUGUGUAGGAUAGGUGGGAGACUGUGAAGCGGGCACGCUAGUGUUCGUGGAGUCAUUGUUGAAAUACCACUCUGGUCACUCUGGAUGUCUAACGUAGGACCCUGAUCGGGUUCAUGGACAGUGCCUGGUGGGUAGUUUAACUGGGGCGGUUGCCUCCCAAAGAGUAACGGAGGCGCCCAAAGGUUCCCUCAACCUGGUUGGCAAUCAGGUGGCGAGUGUAAGUGCACAAGGGAGCUUGACUGUGAGACUGACAGGUCGAGCAGGGACGAAAGUCGGGACUAGUGAUCCGGCAGUGGCUUGUGGAAGCGCUGUCGCUCAACGGAUAAAAGGUACCUCGGGGAUAACAGGCUGAUCUUGCCCAAGAGUCCAUAUCGACGGCAUGGUUUGGCACCUCGAUGUCGGCUCGUCGCAUCCUGGGGCUGGAGUAGGUCCCAAGGGUUGGGCUGUUCGCCCAUUAAAGCGGUACGCGAGCUGGGUUUAGAACGUCGUGAGACAGUUCGGUCCCUAUCCGCUGCGCGCGUUGGAAAUUUGAGAAGAUCUAUCCCUAGUACGAGAGGACCGGGAUGGACGAACCUCUGGUGUGUCAGUUGUUCUGCCAAGGGCA
rnacentral:rRNA from 1 species